ACAUACGACCAUAGACUCAAGAGAAUUGGGCAUCCCGUCCGCUCUGCCAUACACAAGCUUGAGAUCGGUGGAUUAGUAGUUGGGUGGGUGACCACCAGCGAAUACGCACUGUUGUAUGUU
rnacentral:rRNA from 1 species